CGGGGCGUGGCUCAGUUUGGUAGAGCGCUUGCUUCGGGAGCAAGAGGCCGUGCGUUCAAGUCGCACCGCCCCGA
rnacentral:tRNA from 1 species